UUCCGAAUGUUUAGUCGGAAUCUCCUUUCUUGCAGCUUGAAGACAUUGGUUCGAGUCCUACCCUCCAGAGAAAAUAAACAUGCUUCCUCCUCCAUGUGACAGUCCUUUAGAUAUUUGAAGAUGGCAAUCACAUCUCCUCUCAGUCUCCUCUUUUCCAGGCUAAACAUACCCAGCUCCUUCAAGC